rnacentral:rRNA from 1 species
GACGAACGCUGGCGGCGUGCUUAACACAUGCAAGUCGAACGGAAAGGCCUGCUUUCCCUUGUGGAUUGCGGGUACUCGAGUGGCGAACGGGUGAGUAACACGUGAGUGAUCUGCCCCCAACUUGGGUAUAAGCCUGGGAAACUGGGUCUAAUUCCCGAUAGGACUGCAGGGUGGUGCCUGUGGUGGAAAACGAUUUUCUAGUGGUUGGGGAUGAGCUCGCGGCCUAUCAGCUUGUUGGUGGGGUAAUGGCCUACCAAGGCGGCGACGGGUAGCCGGCCUGAGAGGGUGGACGGUCACAUUGGGACUGAGAUACGGCCCAGACUCCUACGGGAGGCAGCAGUGGGGAAUAUUACACAAUGGGCGGAAGCCUGAUGCAGCGACGCCGCGUGGGGGAUGACGGCCUUCGGGUUGUAAACUCCUUUCGACCGCGAGGAAGCCACCUGGUUGGAAGGGUGGUGACGGUAGUGGUAGAAGAAGCACCGGCUAACUACGUG